rnacentral:misc_RNA from 1 species
GCCACUUUUCCAAAAGAGAUUCAGGUUAUUUUUCUUCAUUGACAGGCUCUUUUUUGAUCCAUCAAUUAUUUCCCUUGAUAUCAAUUUAUUUAAUAACUCCAUUAUCCUGUGGAAUUUGUUGCUUCUGACUACAAACUGGUUUGGGUUCCUCCUCAUGGAUGAGCAACAUUGUGGCGACCUUUCAAUAUCACUACAAAUUCUCGUGCUGCUUGCUCUUCUAGAAUAAGAAAGGAUCUCUUAUUUUCCUCUAAUUUUUGGAUGUAUAUUACUUGAUUAAAGCAUAGGAAAGAGCGCCUUGGUAGUGU